AGUCAAUGAUCAAAUAGAUUGAUCUAGUUACUUAGAAAAAUGAGAAACCAAAUAUAAAUAAAAAGGAAUUUGAGAAAAAUAAAAUUUAAAUUGUAUGAAAAAUAAUGAUUGAAUACAAUAGAGUCUUAACAAAAAUUAGUGCCAGCAGUUGCGGUUAAACUAAGAAGACAAACGUUAAUCAUUAUGGCUUAAAGGAUCCGUAGAACAAUUAAUAAAUAAAAUUAAUUAGAGUUUAAAAAUGUUAAAAGAAGUGUUAUGGUAGAGAUUAAAUAUAAUAAUCAUAAAAAGACUACUCAUGUGAAGAUAUUUAACUUGAAUAAACUGACGUUGAGAGGAUGAAGGCGUAAGCGAUAAAAUGGAUUAGAUACCCAUUUAAUUUAUGCAGUAAACUAUGAAUACUAAUUGAUUAUUUAAAUACUCCGCCUCCCAGUUUUAACGGGAGGCGGGGCCAGAUAUAUUAUCUUUUUUAUUAAUUUAUAAAGUGAAAACGUAAGUAUUCCGCCCGGUGAGUAUUUUCGCAAGAAAGAAAUCCAAGACAAUAGACGGUUACAUAAAUAAGCAGUGAAUUGUGUUAU
rnacentral:rRNA from 1 species